rnacentral:lncRNA from 10 species
CUGGAGGCGGAGGUUGCAGUGAGCUAAGAUCGAGCCACCGCACUCCAGGCUAGGCGACAGAGGGAGACUUAGUCUCAAAAAAGAAAAAAAAGAAAACCAUGGAACUCAAACUCAUAACACUAGGUGAAAGAAGCCAGGCUCAGAAGACUACAUACUAUAUGAUUCCAUCUCUGUGAUGUUCUGGAGAAGGCAAAACCAUAGACACAGAAUCUUGCCCUGUCGCCCAGGCUGGAGUGUAAUAGUGUGAUCUCAGCUCACUGCAACCUCCACCUUCCCGGUUCAAGCAAUUCUUCUGCCUCAGCCUCCCGAGUAGCUGGAACUACAAGCGCGCACCACCACACCUGGCUAAUUUUUGUAUUUUUAAUGAAGAUGGGGUUUCACCAUGUUGACCAGGCUGGUCUCGAACUCUUGACCUGAAGUGAUCUGCCCACCUCGGCCUCCC